rnacentral:rRNA from 1 species
AAUAGAUACCCAGGUAGUCCACGCCGUAAACGAUGAGUGCUUGCUGUAUUCGGUAUCGACCCCGGAUGUAGCGAAGCUAACGCGUUAAGCACUCCGCCUGUGGAGUACGGUCGCAAGACUAAAACAUAAAGGAAUUGACGGGGACCCGCACAAGCGGUGGAGCGUGUUGUUUAAUUCGAUGGUAAGCGAAGAACCUUACCCAGGUUUGACAUCCUCGGAAUUUCUCCGAAAGGAGAAAGUGCCUUUGGAACCGAGUGACAGGUGCUGCAUGGCCGUCGUCAGCUCGUGUCGUGAGAUGUUUGGUUAAGUCCAUCAACGAGCGCAACCCUUAUGGUCUGUUGUAUUUCUCAGGCCAGACUGGCCCCUGGCAACAGGGAGGAAGGGGGGGAUGAUGUCAGGUCAGUAUUGCCCUUACACCUGGGGCUACAAACACGCUACAAUGGCCGGUACAAAGGGCUGCCAAAGCGCAAGCUGGAGCAAAUCCCAUCAAAGCCGGUCUCAGUUCGGAUUGCAGGCUGAAACUCG